GCUGGAUGUGGUGGUGCACACCUGUAAUCCCAGUAACUUGGGAAGCUAAGGAAGGAGAUUCACAAGUUUAAGGCCACCAUCAGCAGUUUAGUGAGACCUUAAGUGACAGUGAGAAUCUGUCUCAA
rnacentral:sRNA from 1 species